UGGUAGUGUAUUGGACUACCAUGGCUUUAACGGGUAACGGAGGAUUAGGGUUCGAUUCCGGAGAGGGAGCCUGAGAAACGGCUACCACAUCUAAGGAAGGCAGCAGGCGCGUAAAUUACCCAAUCCUGACUCAGGGAGGUAGUGACAAGAAAUAACGGACCGAAGCCUAUGGUUUCGGGAUUGCAAUGAGUAGAAUUUAAACCCCUUUACGAGGAUCAAUUGGAGGGCAAGUCUGGUGCCAGCAGCCGCGGUAAUUCCAGCUCCAAUAGCGUAUAUUAAAGUUGUUGCAGUUAAAAAGCUCGUAGUUGGAUUUCUGGGAGGGUGCCAAUGUCCGCUCGUUCGCGUGUGCAGCGGCGCCCUUCCAUCCUUCUGUUAACGUUUCUUGGUAUUCAGUUACUGGUUUCGGGCUCAGAUAUUUUACCUUGAGAAAAUUAGAGUGUUUCAGGCAGGCUUGCGCCGGAAUACAUUAGCAUGGAAUAAUAGAAUAGGACUUUAGUCUCCUUUGUUGGUUUGAGGGACUGAAGUAAUGAUUAAUAGGGAUAGUUGGGGGCAUUAGUAUUUAAUUGUCAGAGGUGAAAUUCUCGGAUUUGUUAAAGACUAACUUAUGCGAAAGCAUUUGCCAAGGAUGUUUUC
rnacentral:rRNA from 1 species